ACGGAGGGUGCGAGCGUUAAUCGGAAUUACUGGGCGUAAAGCGUGCGUAGGCGGUUCGUUAAGUCAGAUGUGAAAGCCCCGGGCUUAACCUGGGAACUGCAUUUGAAACUGGCGGACUAGAGUUGAGUAGAGGGGAGUGGAAUUUCAGGUGUAGCGGUGAAAUGCGUAGAUAUCUGAAGGAACACCAGUGGCGAAGGCGACUCCCUGGACUCAAACUGACGCUGAGGUACGAAAGCGUGGGUAGCAAACAG
rnacentral:rRNA from 1 species